UACGGAGGGGGCUAGCGUUGUUCGGAAUUACUGGGCGUAAAGCGCACGUAGGCGGCUCUGUAAGUUAGAGGUGAAAGCCCGGGGCUCAACUCCGGAAUUGCCUUUAAGACUGCAUCGCUAGAAUUGUGGAGAGGUAAGUGGAAUUCCGAGUGUAGAGGUGAAAUUCGUAGAUAUUCGGAAGAACACCAGUGGCGAAGGCGACUUACUGGACACAUAUUGACGCUGAGGUGCGAAAGCGUGGGGAGCAAACAGG
rnacentral:rRNA from 1 species